CUUGGUCUCUAGAGCGGCUUGGAACCACUCCUUCCCAUUCCGAACAGGGAUGUGAAACGAGCCAGCGCCGAUAAUACUUGUCCGGAAACGGACUGGGAAAGUAGGUCGAGGCCAGGG
rnacentral:rRNA from 1 species